ACGUUACGUGUUGUAAUUUAACAUAUAAUAGCGGUUUACGAUGCCGACAUAAUCGCUGACAGUUUGACAUCUAAUAUCGUGUUUCGUGCUUUUUGGAUGCACUUCACCGAAAAGAAGAAACGUACAUUAUAUAUUAUAUAGAUUGUGGAUUUCUAUAUUAUAUUUAUUUAAAGGUUAUAUUUAAAGGAGAGUAUUCGUUAUAAUUUGUGAUUUUUAUAGUAAAGAUAGUACUAAUCUUUAUUUAUGUCUAUGAAUUCGCAUAAGAAUUUGAGAUUACAUCUCAUUAGCGUAUGAUAAUUAUAAAGAGGAGAAAAAGUGACGACUGACUAUUGUUUACCGCAACGGUAUCCAAGGUAUUUGCUCUUCUAUCGAACCGAUAACUUUCCUAUGUUAAUCCGUGAAAAUAACCUGUACGUUGUAGCUGUUUUUUGGCGCGAAAUUUGCAUUUCAUAUUUGCACCUUUAACGGUCAUCGUUUUAUUGAACAGUAGUGGAAAGCUUUCUGUUGUUUUAUUCAACGUAUGCGUAUAUUUUACCUCUAUAACGUCGUGUAACUUUGAUUAUUAUAAUAGUUAUGUCGUGAUCGUUUGCUUUUUAACAAAAUCUGUGAAAAUUACAAAUUCAUCGUUCAUAUACAGAUAUCUGGAGGUUGAUGCAUAAUUGUAUAAAUUUAAAUAAUACGUAACAUAAUAAAUAACAUAAUGACGUAGACAUUUCUUUAUAUUCAGGACAAAAAAUUCGGUUUACAUAGAACUAAGUGCUAUAGUAAUUUAUGAAUGAAAAGAUCUUCAGUUAAUUCCUAUUCUGUUGUACUAUGAAUGACCUAUGAAGUUUCGUACAUGUCAUCACUCUGUGAUGAAAUUUGAACACAGUUUAUAAGAUAUUUUGCACUAUUUCGCAAUUUCGUCUUUAUCAAAUAUUUGUAUAUUUUGAGACAGCGAAUUAUAAUUUUACAUUACUUUUUUAUUACUUUAAUUAUUACUAUAUACUCCCAUUAAUUUUAUUUUACUUUUAUAUUACUCGUUAUUUAAUUUUAAUAUAUUAAUAUCGGAAAUGAAAUUAUAAUUACACUUUGAUAUUUUGAAGAAGAAUUUUACCGUUACCUAGUAAGAAUCGUGCAGAAAUAUAGAUACACGGAGGUACAUAAAAUGAAAGAAUGUCACGUAGCCGGUGCGAUUCCAUGAAAUUCACUUUCACGGCACAUACUUAAGAAACGGAACAAGCGGUGGUAUGACAACCUGAGGAUGAUGAAAUGGACGCUUCUUACGUAUAUGAUAAAACGCCGUUAUCUUUAUCACAGUUUUUAUACAUGACUUUAUAUCCGUAUAGAACCCGUUCAUUUAAAUUAAUUUAUACCUAUAGGAAGACACCAACAAAUUCAACUAAAUAUUUAAAAAACAGUUGACGAAUACAGGAAAAAAUACGUGUAACUCCUUUUCAUACAUUUACAUUUAUAUAUAGCUAUAUAAAUAAAUAUUAUUUUGCAUACUAGUCUUGGAUACUGGCUAAAAGUCGAGGAAAUAUUUUAUAUAAAUAAAGUGUCUCGAGUUAUAAAAAUCUGGAAGUACCAAAAAUCAGAGAAUCAAAAUGAGAAUCUUAGCUAAGCUUAAGAGUAUAGCAUUUUGCAACUGUGAUGUUGCAAAUUGUACGAAACUGAUUCUUAAACUUUGAAACGUGUUUAAAAAUGCCACGCGAUUCGUAGUAGUAUUGACCAAAUUAAAAUAAUUUUCUGCGUGACUGUGCAAAUUGUACUGUACGUCGCUGUUCCGGAAACAUUCGCUUGCGAUUACGAAAUUUACUGGGAAUUUCACGGUUAACAGCCGUUCUUCGAAGGUUACCGUUUAAAGAGUAACACGUAUCUCUCUAUGGAAAUUCGAGACUUGCGAUAUUUUCUUCUCUGUCAUUCAAUUGUGUCUUUUUCCCGUGACUUGUAAAUCUCUUAUUAUCUUCUGCAAUGUCUGAGUAAUCAAUAGCGAAUUUAAGUCUAUAUAAUAGACGACUGCGUUCCAUUUUGUGAAACAUUAUUAUUAUUAUUUCAAUGUUUAUGCGUCGAAUAAAAAAAUUAGUAGGUUUUUAAUGCAAUUUCACGGUCAGAAAUGAUAAAAUUUUGAUGAAACGACAAAUGUUUUGUUAGAAACCUAAUAGGAAUAAUUAUCUUAAUAUUUAACUUGGAUUUAUUAGUCAAAUGAAAGCGCAGGAAUGGCUGGGUUAUAAAAAAAGACAAGAGUGGUUCCAUUAUAAAUAUAAAUAAAUAGUUCCAGUGUCUAGUGGGUUAAAGAUCAAAAAGUUACACAUGAACAACUUUACCAAUCUAAAGUCACUUUCUAAACAUCUGAUAUUUACUAGUUUAAAACUAGUUUUAAAAUACGCUCUAUUAACUCUUUAUAGUUGAAUGUUCUUCUACUUAUAAAAGUUAAGUGCAAUUUUUCGUCUGGAAAGUAUGACGGAUAUUAAUUGACAUAAAUGGCAAGUAACGAUAUAAUGAUAGGAUGUAAUAAGAAGAGAGAUAAGAUUGAUACAAUAUAGAUAUAAAACUUGAAGUUGUAUGACAUCAGAUAUGAUUAAGAACGAAUCAUUGUAAAUAACUAAUCGAACUGGGUGGGUCGUACUUGACAAUACAAAUAAAAAGGAAAUUUCUAUGAAA